GCUGCAAUGCUCUAUGUCUGCAUCUGCACCUGCACCAGUUCUACUCUUGCUUUGGCCAAAUUUCUGGAGCUCGAUCAGUUCGGGUGCAGGUGUGGUUGCAGAUACAUAACAUUGUCGC